rnacentral:rRNA from 1 species
CACGUAGGGGGCAAGCGUUGUCCGGAUUUAUUGGGCGUAAAGAGCUCGUAGGCGGUUCGGCAAGUCGGGUGUGAAACCCCCAGGCUCAACCUGGGGACGCCACCCGAUACUGCUGUGACUUGAGUCCGGUAGGGGAGCGUGGAAUUCCUGGUGUAGCGGUGAAAUGCGCAGAUAUCAGGAGGAACACCAAUAGCGAAGGCAGCUCGCUGGGACGGUACUGACGCUGAGGCGCGAAAGCGUGGGGAGCGAACAGG